ensembl:piRNA 21ur-5241 ncRNA
UCUCGUCCCUCACGGAUAAGA